AAUAACCCAUGGUGGGAAGAGAAGUGUAGAACUUGUAGGUUUACUCACCCCCCCUAUCCACCAUAGACACCCAGAACAUGUGCCCCUGAUGCCAGUACAGCUCCAUAGGGUUUGGUCGCCAGGACUAGUGUACCCCAACUUAAUCUAGACCAAUCUGUAGCAGGAGACACAGAUGGAGCACCCUCAAUCUCCACUCCUGCACUGGGAGCUGCAGUGAGUACCCCCCUUGCACCACUCACACUCCACCUUUGGACUUGGCUUGAAUAUAACCCUGGACCCCUUCAGACCAGCUAGCCAUGCUCAAGCAAUUACCAGACCCUGAAGUCCUGCAGGAACGGUGUUCCAGCACUUUUUUCACAGCAGAAACGCCGUUCCCUUUGCUCCUGUAGACACUAUAGAGGGGGAGACAAAAAAAUGCCACCCCCAAAUGUCCCCGUCUUCCCCCUGUCAUGGGGGCCACCUGAUGGAACUCCC